UACUAUAUGUAUGUUAUUUUUUAACAGAAGUGAAAUAGAUUAAAAAGCAUACUUUGCACUUACCCCAAUAACUGAUUUUACUGAUUAACAUAAUAACAAUUUAAAAUGACUUGGAAACAAUGGUCAUGAAAAAUUAGGCAACUCUAAAUGUCGGCGAUACCUUAAUUAUUUGUUGUAGUGCAUGAGAAAAAGAUGCGUGUUUAAAAAAUAGUAUCUAAAAUAAUAUGGACCAAUUAAUACUUCAAAUGGCUUAUUUUGUGUGGAAAUUAACAAAUUGCAACAGCGCAAACAAAAAUAUGAGGAUCUCGAUGUAUGCUUUACCAGAAGUGUUCGCGGGAAUAACUUGCUAACUAUCAACGGCAAGCCGUACACAUUGAAUCGACGAAUAAAGGAUGUUUGUUACUGGGAGUGUGUAAAACUGCGAUGCAAAUACACGAAAUGCACAGCGCGUGUAAUCACGAAAUGUGAUCAGAUUGCAUCGUUGCGUGGAGAUCAUAACCAUUUAUAAACAUGUGUGUUAACAGAUCUUGGAUAGCAGCAAAUUUUCAAUUUAAACGGAACAGACGUGGUGGCCUCAAUCUGCUUUACCAUGGGUAUAUGUAUACUGCGGAAAGAAGAUAUAAUUCCACAAUAAACUGGGUGUGCAGUAGAAAUAGUAGCCUUACACUACGUUGUCCAGCGCGCUGCAUCACAGCUGGUCAAAGUAACAUUAAAUUGAGCCAAAGAUGUCAUAAUCAUUCACCAAUUAGUUGAAGCUUUUUCAAUUAAAAAUUCUCUUGUCACCGGUGCGAAAUUUACAACUAUAGAAAACUUUCGUUUUGUUAUCGGAUCACAAUCUCCGAGCAAAUACUAUUUGAAGUGUGCAAACUUUCGUAACAAAUGUCGCGCUCGUGCUGUUAUACGCAAGGACACGUUGGCAUUAUUAUUGCGUCGGAAACAUAAUCACACAGCAGAACAGCAAAAUUUGAAAAGAAAACAAAAAUCUUCCGGUGCAAUAUAUACGCUCACGUCGAGGAACUCAUCUCGUGCUACAUGAAUAUAAUACAUAUACCCCGAAUGAGAAAGUGCGGGACGGACGACUUUCGCGAGAUUGGAAAUGCUCUAUGUAUCAUAAGGCGAAAUGUCGCGCCAGACUUGUAACAAAACACACAUUCACCGGCGAUGUAAUCCAUGUAACGUCAGCGAUACAUACACAUAAACCAAUGUACACAGCUGCUGAGUUAGAAGUAAUGCAAAAACAAAAUCUUUUAACACAACAACCGAAACGGGAACAUGAAAUUACGGAUGAUGCACAGCAGCUAGAACAAACUCGUCCUAUUAGCUCUUUGCAUUGUUUGCCUCAAUUACAGCAAAUACAACAAUUCCAGCCAAUGCAGUUACGAGCACUUUAUCUACCGUCCAUAACAAAUGUAUCCCUUCUUCCGGCGCAAUUUGACAAAAUGCUGCCACAUUAAUUUGCAAGAAAACCCCAAGUUGAUAAAUAGUACAAAAUAAAGAAGACAAUUAUCAAAAAAAUCUCAUUCAUUAUAGAUAUAUAUUAUGAAUUAAUUUUGCAAAAUACAAAUCAGACUGACCUUAAACAACAAAGCAUCUUUAAACAUAGCGAGCAACUUUUUUGUACCCGACACGAUUACAGAGAGCAAAGACGACGGGAGGGAAGGAAAAAUAUCAUCAUUGGUUCUAACACCAAGGAAAAUGAAUCUUUGUUUCAUACCUGGACAACGAGGUAAAUCCUUGUUGUGUUUCAACCACUUCACAUACGCCAAAAAUAAUGUUUGUGGUAAUACAACGUAUUGGAAUUGUCGCAGUCGACGUGUCGGUAUGAAGCCAUGCAACGCUCGCAUCACAACAACGAAACAACCGAAUGGUUUGUUCAGAGUAUGCCUUACCAAACCAGAACACAAUCAUGAACCCUCUCUGCGCGUGCUGAAGAAGUUGAAGAGAUCACUUUAAACCUUAACUAAAAUAAUAUAAGAAAAAUACAAAUAUCAAUAAAAUAUAU